GACGAACCGUGCGAACGUUGUUCGGAAUCACUGGGCUUAAAGGGCGCGUAGGCGGGCAGCCAAGUCAGGGGUGAAAUCUUUCGGCUCAACCGGAAAAGUGCCUUUGAUACUGGCUGCCUCGAGGGAGGUAGGGGCGUGCGGAACUUUGGGUGGAGCGGUGAAAUGCGUAGAUAUCGUCAAGAACACCGAUAGCGAAGGCAGCUUACUAAGCUCAAACUGACACUGAUGCACGAAAGUGUGGGGAUCAAACAGG
rnacentral:rRNA from 1 species